UACGGAGGGUGCAAGCGUUAUCCGGAAUCACUGGGUUUAAAGGGUGCGUAGGCGGUGGUGUAGGUCAGUUGUGAAAUGCCCCGGCUUAACCGGCGGAACGGCGAUUGAUACCGCAUCACUUGAAUCAGGAUGAGGUAGGCGGAAUGUGGCAUGUAGCGGUGAAAUGCUUAGAUAUGCCAUAGAACACCGAUUGCGAAGGCAGCUUGCUGGGCCUGAAUUGACGCUGAGGCACGAAAGCGUGGGGAGCAAACAGG
rnacentral:rRNA from 1 species